rnacentral:rRNA from 1 species
GCAAGUCGAACGCGAAAGCAAUCUUCGGAUUGUGAGUAGAGUGGCGCACGGGUGAGUAACGCGUAAGUAAUCUACCCUCGCAUCUGGGAUAACCCACCGAAAGGUGUGCUAAUACCGGAUACGUCUAAGUUAAUAUCUUUUUUUUAGAGAAAGGUGGCCUCUGAUUCAAGCUACUGUGCGGGGAGGAGCUUGCGUACCAUUAGCUAGUUGGUAGGGUAACGGCCUACCAAGGCGACGAUGGUUAGCGGGUCUGAGAGGAUGAUC